GGUUGUGUAGUGUAGUGGUUAUCACUCCGGAUUUUGAUCAUUGUUUGAAUCGAACAUUCCGGCAACCCCAGUUCGAACCCGGGCACGACCU